rnacentral:rRNA from 1 species
GUCCUGGCCUUAAACGAUGGAUGCUUGGUGUCUGGGGUUUUAUAGUCCCCGGGUGCCGUAGCUAACGCGUUAAGCAUCCCGCCUGGGGAGUACGGUCGCAAGACUGAAACUCAAAGGAAUUGACGGGGACCCGCACAAGCGGUGGAGCAUGUGGUUCAAUUCGACGCAACGCGAAGAACCUUACCAGGGCUAGAAUGCCUCUGACAACUCUAGAGAUAGAGCCUCUUAGGGAAACCUAGGCAGAGUGCAAGGUGCUGCAUGGCUGUCGU